UCGAGAAUCUUCGGCAAUGGGCGCAAGCCUGACCGAGCGACGCCGCGUGGAGGACGAAGGCCUUCGGGUUGUAAACUCCUGUCGAGGGGGAGGAAGGCGCAAGCUUGACCGAUCCCUGGAGGAAGCACGGGCUAAGUUCGUGCCAGCAGCCGCGGUAAGACGAACCGUGCGAACGUUAUUCGGAAUCACUGGGCUUAAAGCGCGUGUAGGCGGGCCGGCACGUCGGCCGCUGAAAUCCCCCGGCUCAACCGGGGAACGGGCACCGAUACGACCGGCCUGGAGGGGGGUAGGGGGAGCUGGAACUUCCGGUGGAGCGGUGAAAUGCGUUGAGAUCGGAAGGAACGCCCGUGGCGAAAGCGAGCUCCUGGACCCUUACUGACGCUGAGACGCGAAAGCCAGGGGAGCGAACGGGAUUAGAUACCCCCGUAGUCC
rnacentral:rRNA from 1 species